rnacentral:rRNA from 1 species
GCGACGUUCAACCUCAAAAGAAGCAGAGGGGGCUUAGUGGUGGGGUGACUGCGUACCUUUUGUAUAAUGGGUCAGCGACUUAUAUUCUGUAGCAAGGUUAACCGAAUAGGGGAGCCGGAGGGAAACCGAGUCUUAAUUGGGCGUUAAGUUGCAGGGUAUAGACCCGAAACCCGGUGAUCUAGCCAUGGGCAGGUUGAAGGUUGGGUAACACUAACUGGAGGACCGAACCGACUAAUGUUGAAAAAUUAGCGGAUGACCUGUGGCUGGGGGUGAAAGGCCAAUCAAACCGGGAGAUAGCUGGUUCUCCCCGAAAGCUAUUUAGGUAGCGCCUCGUGAAUUCAUCUCCGGGGGUAGAGCACUGUUUCGGCUAGGGGGCCAUCCCGGCUUACCAACCCGAUGCAAACUGCGAAUACCGGAGAAUGUUAUCACGGGAGACACACGGCGGGUGCUAACGUCCGUCGUGAAGAGGGAAACAACCCAGACCGCCAGCUAAGGUCCCAAAGUCAUGGUUAAGUGGGAAACGAUGUGGGAAGGCCCAGACAGCCAGGAUGUUGGCUUAGAAGCAGCCAUCAUUUAAAGAAAGCGUAAUAGCUCACUGGUCGAGUCGGCCUGCGCGGAAGAUGUAACGGGGCUAAACCAU